CAGACCUCUGCCAGGCUCCCUGUCUUGGGAUGAUUUCUGGAUUUCCUGUGGUGGAAAUCACAGGAUUCCCAAUCUGACACUGCUGUAUCUUUACUGGAGAGUGUCUGGAUUUGUCCAUAGCCAUUCUCACCUUCAAUAAGCCAAUUAAAGGAGCCGUUUUAAGAUCCUCAUCAAUACAAUCCAAGACAGGAAGAGAUCCCUGGCCCAAAUCCCUCCAUUUGUCCUGGAGAAACUUGUCAGGAUGAAGCCAAGUCCUGCUCCUUCUCCCAGAGUGAUUGCUCACAACAGCUGAGCAGGAGCUGAGUCCAUCCACCAUCUCAGCAGGACUGGUUGGGCGAAGAAUAUAAAUGGAAUAUAAAAUAAAUGAAAGUGACACACGUCAACAUGUAGGCACUGCCAGAAGCCAGUCAGAGCUGAUGCUUGACCUGUACACUUGAGACAAGGAGCAGAGACAGAUUCUUUGAGAUUUCUGCAUUUGAAAGAGGCCAUAAAAGAAAAAAAGAUACAGAUGCUUUUCAAGUAUAUGGACGUCAAAUGGAUCUGAAGACACUAAAGAUGGCAUAUCAUUGGAUGGAUACCACUGGCUUUCAACAUAGAAAUCUAAAUAUAGAAAGGAUUAAACAAUCACUUAUAAUUUCACUAAAAUAAGUGCCAAGAUUCCUAUAGUUUCUAAUGGGGGCAGGAGCUGACCUCCUCCUUAGCUGUCCUCAGUUAAACAAUACAGAAACAUAAUGACUUCAGUGAGAGACCUGGGUAAUGAGCAUAUAUCCCCAUCAUCAGCUCUGUGUUGCCCCAUUCUUCUCCCCUGCCUUUCCCUGGCCUUCAUUACUUGCUGAAGACAUUGUAUUCCAAAACAAACUUGGAAUUUCCUCCUUUCUUUGCUGAAAGUAUCCUUCAACAACAUACAGGUGAAAUGAUCUGCUCUGUUACAAUGGAGUGCUCUUUCCCUGCCUACCCCUGCUCUCCUCAUCUGGAGGGGAAAGCUAGUGAGUGGGGCCAGGCAGAUAAGAAGAUAAGAAAGGCAGGAAGAAGAGUGGGAAGAAUCUGGUCACUUUGUGCCCACCCAGCUCUCCUUCCAGGCAUUAGGGCCAGUGAGUUCAUCCACAUUGGUCCAAGCAUUUCUCAAGACUCUCAGAACAGAAUGUCUUGUCCAUCAUCUGUACCUGAACCUCUGGGGACCCCUCUGUGUCACCACCAAUUUUUGGCCAUGCUGCAGAACAGCUUCAGCCUGCUCCUGCAUCUCUUUCUUUGUUAGCUAAAC
ensembl:lncRNA